rnacentral:rRNA from 3 species
AUUAAUAAGCGGAGGAAAAGAAACUAACAAGGAUUCCCUCAGUAACGGCGAGUGAAGCGGGAAGAGCUCAAAUUUGAAAUCUCCGGUGCUUGCAUCGGCGAGUUGUAGUUGCGAGAAGCACUUUCUAGGUGGAUCGGCGGUGCCUAAGUUGCUUGGAACAGCACGUCGCAGAGGGUGACAACCCCGUCUGUGGCGCCGCCGGCCGCUGACGAUGUGCUUUCGAAGAGUCGGGUUGUUUGGGAAUGCAGCCCAAAAUGGGUGGUAAACUCCAUCUAAAGCUAAAUACUGGCGUGAGACCGAUAGCGAACAAGUACCGUGAGGGAAAGAUGAAAAGAACUUUGAAAAGAGAGUUAAAAAGUACGUGAAACCGUCGGAAGGGAAACGAAUGGACUCAGCAAUGCGCCCUCUGAGAUUCAGCCGCGUGGGUGGCGUCGGCGCGGGGUUUGCGGAUCUGAAUGGACCGCGGCCCGGCGCUCGCUGCUCCCCGCCGUCGCACUUCUCUGGGGCGCGCGUCAACGUGGGUUGGGACUGGGUCUGAAAGGUGCCGGGAAGGUAGGUGUGGGCCUUCGGGUCCGUUCUGUUACAGCCCGGUUCUCUCAUGGCUCGGGCCCGACCGAGGAGCAGACAGGGCAUGCCUCCUGUGGCUAGGGUCCCGUCCUUCCGGCCGGCUGUCCAGUGUGGUGGACUGCUUGCAGUGCUCUGCGACGGCUGCCGGUCGUUGGGGUGGUGAUCUCGUACCAUGCCCUUGGGAUGUUGGCGGUCAUAUG